CGGACGGGUGAGUAAUGUCUGGGAAACUGCCUGAUGGAGGGGGAUAACUACUGGAAACGGUAGCUAAUACCGCAUAACGUCGCAAGACCAAAGAGGGGGACCUUCGGGCCUCUUGCCAUCGGAUGUGCCCAGAUGGGACUAGCUAGUAGGUGGGGUAACGGCUCACCUAGGCGACGAUCCCUAGCUGGUCUGAGAGGAUGACCAGCCACACUGGAACUGAGACACGGUCCAG
rnacentral:rRNA from 1 species